GUGCUCUUUUUGGCAGUACAUACACUAAAACUGGAACAAUACAGAGAGAUUUGCAUAGUCCCUGCACAAAGAUGACAAGAAAAUUUGUGAAGCAUUCUUUAUUUUA
ensembl:snRNA U6 U6 spliceosomal RNA